UACGAAGGGGGCUAGCGUUGCUCGGAAUUACUGGGCGUAAAGGGCGCGUAGGCGGAUGUUUAAGUCGGGGGUGAAAGCCCGGGGCUCAACCCCGGAAUUGCCUUCGAUACUGGACAUCUUGAGUACGGGAGAGGUGAGUGGAACUCCGAGUGUAGAGGUGAAAUUCGUAGAUAUUCGGAAGAACACCAGUGGCGAAGGCGACUCACUGGCCCGUUACUGACGCUGAGGCGCGAAAGCGUGGGGAGCGAACAGG
rnacentral:rRNA from 1 species